UACAGAGGUCUCGAGCGUUAGGCGGAAUCACUGGGCUUAAAGCGUGUGUAGGCGGAUCGGUAAGUACCUUGUGAAAUCCCACAGCUUAACUGUGGAACUGCUUGGUAUACUGCCAGUCUUGAGCCAGCUAGGGGCGACCGGAACAAAUGGUGGAGCGGUGAAAUGCGUAGAUAUCAGGAAGAACACCUAUGGCGAAGGCAGCUCUCUGGGACGGUACUGACGCUGAGACGCGAAAGCGUGGGGAGCGAACAGG
rnacentral:rRNA from 1 species